GGGGAUCAUGAGUAUUGGUUGUAAGUGUUGUUAACUUUAGUAACUCCAUAUGUGUUAAGUUUCUCCAGUUUAGCAGGUGGUGUGUUUCCUUUGUGGAAUUCUUGAAAGUUACAGUUUCUUGUUUCUGACCUUCAGAUGUGUGGUUGUCCGGGUUACUGCUACCCACGGUGGGUUGUUUUUGUUGAGCCUGUUUGCUCUUUUCCUGUGUGAACUUUCAGUUACUAUGGUAACCCCAUCCCAUAAUAGUUUUUUUUUUUUUUUGCUUUAAAAGGCUGAUGCUUGCCGGCAAUAAACGUUGCCUGGAUCAGACUCUUGUCUUGGCGUCCUUCCUCUCUCUCUGCCCCAUCUCCACCCCGCUGCUCUUUCAGGUUUGAGGCAUUGCUGGACAGUGCUCUGCGUCGCCGGCUUGCGAAACAGCUUGUGUAAAUCUUAGUGGAUCUGCUAAGCACCCCUGGGAGCAGAACGUCACCGGCACAUGUGCUGAGCUGGUUCUCUUUAGGUCUUCCCGUUUCUCUGACUCAAGGCCCAGUCCCCCUGGCAGACAGGACUCUGAAGGCAUGGCUUUCACAAGCUCUCUUCCAGGCUCUGUAGAAACACGGUUUGCAUAAAGCAUGGAGUCUGGUGAGUGGUCAGGGCUUAAGGCUUGAUAAAUAUUUGUGAACUGGUUGAUGAAUACCUGUCA
rnacentral:lncRNA from 1 species